rnacentral:tRNA from 2 species
GAUCCACUAGCUCAGGCGGUAGAGCACCUGACUUUUAAUCAGGGUGUCCCGGGUUCGAUUCCCGGGUGGAUCACCA